rnacentral:rRNA from 1 species
GGGUUGUGAGGUUAAGCGACUAAGCGUACACGGUGGAUGCCCUGGCAGUCAGAGGCGAUGAAGGACGUGCUAAUCUGCGAUAAGCGUCGGUGAGGUGAUAUGAACCGUUAUAACCGGCGAUUUCCGAAUGGGGAAACCCAGUGUGUUUCGACACACUAUCAUUAACUGAAUCCAUAGGUUAAUGAGGCGAACCGGGGGAACUGAAACAUCUAAGUACCCCGAGGAAAAGAAAUCAACCGAGAUUCCCCCAGUAGCGGCGAGCGAACGGGGAGGAGCCCAGAGCCUGAAUCAGUGUGUGUGUUAGUGGAAGCGUCUGGAAAGGCGUGCGAUACAGGGUGACAGCCCCGUACACAAAAAUGCACAUAUUGUGAGCUCGAUGAGUAGGGCGGGACACGUGGUAUCCUGUCUGAAUAUGGGGGGACCAUCCUCCAAGGCUAAAUACUCCUGACUGACCGAUAGUGAACCAGUACCGUGAGGGAAAGGCGAAAAGAACCCCGGCGAGGGGAGUGAAAAAGAACCUGAAACCGUGUACGUACAAGCAGUGGGAGCCUCUUAAUGGGGUGACUGCGUACCUUUUGUAUAAUGGGUCAGCGACUUAUAUUCUGUAGCAAGGUUAACCGAAUAGGGGAGCCGAAGGGAAACCGAGUCUUAACUGGGCGUUAAGUUGCAGGGUAUAGACCCGAAACCCGGUGAUCUAGCCAUGGGCAGGUUGAAGGUUGGGUAACACUAACUGGAGGACCGAACCGACUAAUGUUGAAAAAUUAGCGGAUGACUUGUGGCUGGGGGUGAAAGGCCAAUCAAACCGGGAGAUAGCUGGUUCUCCCCGAAAGCUAUUUAGGUAGCGCCUCGUGAAUUCAUCUCCGGGGGUAGAGCACUGUUUCGGCAAGGGGGUCAUCCCGACUUACCAACCCGAUGCAAACUGCGAAUACCGGAGAAUGUUAUCACGGGAGACACACGGCGGGUGCUAACGUCCGUCGUGAAGAGGGAAACAACCCAGACCGCCAGCUAAGGUCCCAAAGUCAUGGUUAAGUGGGAAACGAUGUGGGAAGGCCCAGACAGCCAGGAUGUUGGCUUAGAAGCAGCCAUCAUUUAAAGAAAGCGUAAUAGCUCACUGGUCGAGUCGGCCUGCGCGGAAGAUGUAACGGGGCUAAACCAUGCACCGAAGCUGCGGCAGCGACACUAUGUGUUGUUGGGUAGGGGAGCGUUCUGUAAGCCUGUGAAGGUGGCCUGUGAGGGUUGCUGGAGGUAUCAGAAGUGCGAAUGCUGACAUAAGUAACGAUAAAGCGGGUGAAAAGCCCGCUCGCCGGAAGACCAAGGGUUCCUGUCCAACGUUAAUCGGGGCAGGGUGAGUCGACCCCUAAGGCGAGGCCGAAAGGCGUAGUCGAUGGGAAACAGGUUAAUAUUCCUGUACUUGGUGUUACUGCGAAGGGGGGACGGAGAAGGCUAUGUUGGCCGGGCGACGGUUGUCCCGGUUUAAGCGUGUAGGCUGGUUUUCCAGGCAAAUCCGGAAAACCAAGGCUGAGGCGUGAUGACGAGGCACUACGGUGCUGAAGCGACAAAUGCCCUGCUUCCAGGAAAAGCCUCUAAGCAUCAGGUAACAUCAAAUCGUACCCCAAACCGACACAGGUGGUCAGGUAGAGAAUACCAAGGCGCUUGAGAGAACUCGGGUGAAGGAACUAGGCAAAAUGGUGCCGUAACUUCGGGAGAAGGCACGCUGAUAUGUAGGUGAAGCGACUUGCUCGUGGAGCUGAAAUCAGUCGAAGAUACCAGCUGGCUGCAACUGUUUAUUAAAAACACAGCACUGUGCAAACACGAAAGUGGACGUAUACGGUGUGACGCCUGCCCGGUGCCGGAAGGUUAAUUGAUGGGGUUAGCGGCAACGCGAAGCUCUUGAUCGAAGCCCCGGUAAACGGCGGCCGUAACUAUAACGGUCCUAAGGUAGCGAAAUUCCUUGUCGGGUAAGUUCCGACCUGCACGAAUGGCGUAAUGAUGGCCAGGCUGUCUCCACCCGAGACUCAGUGAAAUUGAACUCGCUGUGAAGAUGCAGUGUACCCGCGGCAAGACGGAAAGACCCCGUGAACCUUUACUAUAGCUUGACACUGAACAUUGAGCCUUGAUGUGUAGGAUAGGUGGGAGGCUUUGAAGUGUGGACGCCAGUCUGCAUGGAGCCGACCUUGAAAUACCACCCUUUAAUGUUUGAUGUUCUAACGUUGGCCCGUAAUCCGGGUUGCGGACAGUGUCUGGUGGGUAGUUUGACUGGGGCGGUCUCCUCCUAAAGAGUAACGGAGGAGCACGAAGGUUGGCUAAUCCUGGUCGGACAUCAGGAGGUUAGUGCAAUGGCAUAAGCCAGCUUGACUGCGAGCGUGACGGCGCGAGCAGGUGCGAAAGCAGGUCAUAGUGAUCCGGUGGUUCUGAAUGGAAGGGCCAUCGCUCAACGGAUAAAAGGUACUCCGGGGAUAACAGGCUGAUACCGCCCAAGAGUUCAUAUCGACGGCGGUGUUUGGCACCUCGAUGUCGGCUCAUCACAUCCUGGGGCUGAAGUAGGUCCCAAGGGUAUGGCUGUUCGCCAUUUAAAGUGGUACGCGAGCUGGGUUUAGAACGUCGUGAGACAGUUCGGUCCCUAUCUGCCGUGGGCGCUGGAGAACUGAGGGGGGGCUGCUCCUAGUAC